rnacentral:piRNA from 1 species
GAACACAACAGAUGACAGGUGGUGGUGU